GAUGAACGCUGGCGGCAGGCUUAACACAUGCAAGUCGAGCGCAUCCUUCGGGGUGAGCGGCAGACGGGUGAGUAACGCGUGGGAACGUACCCUUUCCUACGGAAUAGCUCCGGGAAACUGGAAUUAAUACCGUAUACGCCCUUAGGGGGAAAGAUUUAUCGGGGAAGGAUCGGCCCGCGUUGGAUUAGCUAGUUGGUGGGGUAAAGGCCUACCAAGGCGACGAUCCAUAGCUGGUCUGAGAGGAUGAUCAGCCACAUUGGGACUGAGACACGGCCCAAACUCCUACGGGAGGAAGCAGUGGGGAAUAUUGGACAAUGGGCGCAAGCCUGAUCCAGCCAUGCCGCGUGAGUGAUGAAGGCCUUAGGGUUGUAAAGCUCUUUCAGUAGGGAAGAUAAUGACGGUACCUACAGAAGAAGCCCCGGCUAACUUCGUGCCAGCAGCAGCCGCGG
rnacentral:rRNA from 1 species